rnacentral:rRNA from 1 species
GAUUAACGCUAGCGAUAGGCCUAUCACAUGCAAGUCGAGGGGCAGCAUAGAGUAGCAAUACUUUGAUGGCGACCGGCGCACGGGUGAGUAACACGUAUGCAACCUACCUACAUCAGGGGAAUAACCCGGAGAAAUUCGGACUAAUACCGCAUAAUACAGGGAUGCCGCAUGGCAAUAUUUGUUAAAGAUUUAUCGGAUGUAGAUGGGCAUGCGUUCCAUUAGCUAGUUGGUAAGGUAACGGCUUACCAAGGCAACGAUGGAUAGGGGAACUGAGAGGUUUGUCCCCCACACUGGAACUGAGACACGGACCAGACUCCUACGGGAGGCAGCAGUGAGGAAUAUUGGUCAAUGGACGAGAGUCUGAACCAGCCAAAUCGCGUGAAGGAAGACUGCCCUACGGGUUGUAAACUUCUUUUGUACAGGAAUAAAAGACAUUACGUGUAAUGUAUUGCAUGUACUGUACGAAUAAGCAUCGGCUAACUCCGUGCCAGCCGCCGCCGUAA